rnacentral:rRNA from 1 species
GACUACCAGGGUAUCUAAUCCUGUUUGAUCCCCACGCUUUCGUGCCUCAGUGUCAAUAUUCGUGUAGCCAGCUGCCUUCGCAAUUGGUGUUCUAUGUCAUAUCUAAGCAUUUCACCGCUACAUGACAUAUUCCGCUAACCUCCACGGUAUUCAAGACUGAUAGUAUCAAUGGCAGUUCCCAAGUUAAGCUCGGGGAUUUCACCACUGACUUACCAACCCACCUACGCACCCUUUAAACCCAGUGAAUCCGGAUAACGCUUGCACCCUCCGUAUUACCGCGGCUGCUGGCACGGAGUUAGCCGGUGCUUAUUCAUAUGGUACCGUCAGUUGAUCUAGAAAGACCCUUUUUCGUCCCAUAUAAAAGAAGUUUACAAUCCAGAGGACCUUCAUCCUCCACGCGGCAUGGCUGGUUCAGACUUUCGUCCAUUGACCAAUAUUCCUUACUGCAGCCGCCCGUAGG